UUGGAGGGCAAGUCUGGUGCCAGCAGCCGCGGUAAUUCCAGCUCCAAUAGCGUAUAUUAAAGUUGUUGCAGUUAAAAAGCUCGUAGUUGAAAUUCGAAAUUUGUCCUAUGGUCGGGCUUUACGGUCCGUACAGUAGUGGCGAAUUUCUACCUUCUGAAGAACCUUCAUGCCAUUAAUUUGGUGUGUUGGGAAAUCAGGACUGUUACUUUGAAAAAAUUAGAGUGUUUAAAGCAGGCUAUAGUCUGGAUACAUUAGCAUGGAAUAAUGAAAUAGGACGUUCGAUCCUAUUUUGUUGGUUUCUAGGAUGACGUAAUGAUUAAUAGGGAUAGUUGGGGGCAUUAGUAUUCAAUUGUCAGAGGUGAAAUUCUUGGAUUUAUUGAAGACUAACUACUGCGAAAGCAUUUGCCAAGGAUGUUUUCAUUAAUCAAAAACGAAAGUUAGGGGAUCGGAGACGAUCAGAUACCGUCGUAGUCUUAACCAUAAACUAUGCCGACUAGGGAUCGGAUGAUGUUAAUUUUUUAAUGACUCAUUCGGCGCCUUACGGGAAACCAAAGUGUUUGGGUUC
rnacentral:rRNA from 1 species